ensembl:lncRNA
GUUUACCAGCUCCAUGCUUCUGUGUUGUUAUUACAGCUCCAUGCUUCUGUGUUGUUUUUACCAGCUCCAUGCUUCUGUGUUGUUUACCAGCUCCAUGCUCUGUGUUGUUAUUACCAGCUCCAUGCUUCUGUGUUGUUUAUACCACGCUCCAUGCUUCUGUGUUGUUAUUACCGCUCCAUGCUUCUGUGUUGUUAUUUACCAGCUCCAUGCUUCUGUGUGUUUUUACCAGCUCCAUGCUUCUGUGUUGUUUUUACCAGCUCCAUGCUUCUGUGUUGUUGCAUCAGUGAUAUUCUACUGAACUUUGAUUAAGGAAGAACUCGGGAAACAAAAAACAAAUGCAAAUUUAACAGAAAAAACAAAAGGACCGGUCUGUGUUUUGAUGACCAAGGGUGUAUUCAUUAUGCUGAUUCUGUUGCAAAACAUUUCUUAAACGGAAGCAGACGGAAACAAAAUGGGGAGAGACUUACCUGGAUUUGUCCAAUAGAAACUCCAAACAGUUACAAAACGUUCCGUUGUGUGCAGCAGAAUGGGGAAUUGGAAUGCAUCACCCCUGUUUUAAUGUUGCCAAAAGAUAGCUCUUCACUGAACUUGUGAUUUAAAAAACAAAGGAUUCGUGAACACUAAUAGUGCUAACCUUCAUAUAUACACACUGAACAAAAUAUAAACUCAACAUGUAAAGUGUUGGUCCCAUGUUUUCAUGACGGAAAUAAAAGAUCCCAGAAAUGUUCCAUACACACAAAAAGCUUAUUUCUCUCAUUUUUUGUGCACAAAUUUGUUUACCAUCCCUGUUAGUGAGCAUUUCUCCUUUGCCAAGGUAAUCCAUCCACAGGACCAGGUGUGGCAUAUCAAAAAGCUGAUUAAACAGCAUGAUCAUUACACAGGUGCASCUUGUGCUGGGGACAAUAGAAUGACACUCUAAAAUGUGCAGAUGUCUCAAGUUGAGGGAGCGUGCAAUUUGCAUGCUGAACGCAGGAAUGUCCUGCAGAGUUGUUGCCAGAGAACUUAAUGUUAAUUUCUUUACCGCCUUCAAUGUUGUUUUAGAGGAUUUGGCAGUAGGUCCAUCAGGCCUCACAACCGCAGACCACGUUGUAUGGCGUCAUGUGAGCGAGCGGUUUACUGAUGUCAACGAUGUAAACAGAGUGCCCCAUGGUGGAGGUGGGGUUAUGGUAUAGGCAGGCAUAAGCUAUGGACAACGAACACAAUUUAAUUUUAUCGAUGGCAAUUUGAAUGCAGAAAAAUACAGUGACGAGAUCCUGAGGCCCAUUAGAGGUAUCUGUGAUCAACAGAUGCAUAUCUGUAUUCCCAGUCAUGUGAAAUCCAUAGAUUAUGGCCUAAUGAAUUCAUUUAAAUUGACUGAUUUCCUUAUAUGAACUAUAACUCAGUAAAAUCAGUUAAARUGUUGUAUGUUGAGUUUAUAUAGUAUAGUACUUAUAAGCUCUUGAAAACCCUUACUGUCCGUAGGGUCAAAUCUAUACACUUUCUGUAGCAGUUUGCACAGAUCCAUACGCUGUGUGUGCCUCCAGUUGACUCACUAUCCCCAGUUAUACUGACACACAGGUGCCCCAUAAUGACAAAGCAAAAACAGGUUUUUAGAUAUUUUUUUGCAAAUGUAUACAAAUWWWAAAAAAUGAAAUAUUACAUUUACWUAAGUAUUCAGACCCUUUACUCAGUGCUUUGUUCAAGCCCCUUUG